AUGAUGGAUCACUACUGCAAGCCGUACCUGAGUCAUCAUCAGCGGGCAAUGUGGCGUGGAGACAUCGGUCUCCUGUGCCGUGGCGACGGUGGGUUCACGGUGGCGAACCUCUCGGUGGGCGUUCAACCGUGGCUCUCUCUCGGUGAGUUCUCAGUGCUGCACCAUACCCCUGAGGAGACGGACAUGAAAUGGGAGGUCAAGCAGCUGCCAACGCCAGUGCCUUGUGACGGUCAUGACGGCACCCCGAACCUGGUGAUCGGUGGCCGUUCCUGUUCCUGGGAAACUGACAUUGUCAUCCCCUUUGAAUUUGACGGUCGCCAUUUGUGCUGGGUCGACCUCUAUCUGGGCUUGCUGUUUGUGGACGUCGUCAUCAAUCAUCCACCGCUGCCACGUUAUGCCCGGCUACCCGUGGAGCUGGAUCAACGUCGUACGUACAUUGAUUCCGGGGCCCCUGACCCAGCCCGCCGCGUGCGCGUCACCGACGCAGGCAUUAUGCAGCUCAUCAGCAUUAGCAACGACGCAGGUCGCAGUGUCCUCGCCCGCUCGUGUUCCGCUUUCAACAUCACAACCUGGACCUUCAACUUCGAGCCAGCGCAAUGGCACAAGGUUGUCACCAUCAGAUCCGACGAGUUCUGGGCCGCUAUUGACACAGAUAAGCGUCUUCCACGUCUCCUUCCAGAGUUUCCGACAAUGAGCAUGGUUGAUCCUGAUGAUGUUUGCUUCACGUUGGAGGAUAGCUACCACAAUUUCUGGCUGGUAAGCGUCAACAUUAAGAACAAGGUCCUGGGGGCUGUCGCGCUCUACAUCAACGAGGAGGAAGAAGAGGAAGGACGCGCUUCUGGUGUGUUCUAUGGCAACUCCUUCAUUGCCAGCCGGAUCACCCGGUACAUGGAUAAGGAUGCUAUCAAAAGUCUUGAAAUGAGCAAGAAAUUGCAGCAAGCAAAACAGGAGCGCACCAUGGAAAAGAUGAGUUGA
rnacentral:rRNA from 1 species